UCGUUAGCUCAGUGGGUAGAGCGCUUCACUGGAAAUGGAGAUGUCCCUGGUUCGAUACCAGAACGA
rnacentral:tRNA from 1 species